UGAGUAACGGCGAGCGAAAAGGGAAGAGCCCAGCGCCGAAUCCCGGAUUCGAAAGGGUCCUGGGAAAUGUGGCGUUCGGGAGUGAGCGUGCCGCGGUUCGACCUUGCAGCAAGUCCCCCUGACCGGGGCAUCUUUCCAGAGCGGGUGCGAGACCCAUAGCUGCUCGGUGGUCCGCGGAUGCGAUCUCCUUGGAGUCGGGUUGCUUGGGAGUGCAGCCCUAAUCGGGUGGUAAACUCCACCUAAGGCUAAAUACGGCCGUGAGACCGAUAGCAAACAAGUACCGUGAGGGAAAGUUGCAAAGAACUUUGAAGAGAGAGUUCAAGAGUACGUGAAACUGCUCAGAGGUAAACGGGUGGGCCCUCGAAAUCCUGUGGCGGGAGGAUUCAGUCGCGAGGUCGGGACGGGUUCGUCCUGGGAAGGUUCCCAUCCGGGACCCCCGGGGCGGCCUGCUCCGGCCGCGAGACGCAUUUGCUUCCCGUCCGAAGGACGCUGCAACCGGUUGGGAGACGGCCUGAAGGUCGGACGAUCGGAAGGUAGCCGGCGCGCCCCUCGUGGGCGUCGUCUGUGUUAUAGCCGGUCCGGCGAUGGCUCGUGACCCGACCGUGGUGUCGCUAAGCCCUCUUGGGCUUCCCCGCCUCCUUCUUCGAGAAGCGGACGAGUCGCGGCAAGGGUUCUCCAGAAGUUUCUGCUUGCGCACGGGACGAGCCCGUGGCUCGUGGACUGGGGUCCUUGGUGGCCGCUCGAGAUCCGUAGGAGGCCGG
rnacentral:rRNA from 1 species